rnacentral:rRNA from 1 species
UCGGAAUCUACUUUUUCGUGGGGGAUAACGUACGGAAACUUACGCUAAUACCGCAUACGACCUACGGGUGAAAGCAGGGGAUCUUCGGACCUUGCGCGAUUGAAUGAGCCGAUGUCGGAUUAGCUAGUUGGCGGGGUAAAGGCCCACCAAGGCGACGAUCCGUAGCUGGUCUGAGAGGAUGAUCAGCCACACUGGAACUGAGACACGGUCCAGACUCCUACGGGAGGCAGCAGUGGGGAAUAUUGGACAAUGGGCGCAAGCCUGAUCCAGCCAUACCGCGUGGGUGAAGAAGGCCUUCGGGUUGUAAAGCCCUUUUGUUGGGAAAGAAAUCCAGCUGGUUAAUACCCGGUUGGGAUGACGGUACCCAAAGAAUAAGCACCGGCUAACUUCGUGCCAGCAGCCGCGGUAAUACGAAGGGUGCAAGCGUUACUCGGAAUUACUGGGCGUAAAGCGUGCGUAGGUGGUCGUUUAAGUCCGUUGUGAAAGCCCUGGGCUCAACCUGGGAACUGCAGUGGAUACUGGACGACUAGAGUGUGGUAGAGGGUAGCGGAAUUCCUGGUGUAGCAGUGAAAUGCGUAGAGAUCAGGAGGAACAUCCAUGGCGAAGGCAGCUACCUGGACCAACACUGACACUGAGGCACGAAAGCGUGGGGAGCAAACAGGAUUAGAUAUCCUGGUAGUCCACGCCCUAUACGAUGCGAACUGGAUGUUGGG